rnacentral:rRNA from 1 species
GACGAACGCUGGCGGCGUGCUUAACACAUGCAAGUCGUACGGUAAGGCCCUUUCGGGGGUACACGAGUGGCGCACGGGUGAGUAACACGUGAGUAACCUGCCCACAACUUUGGGAUAACGCUAGGAAACUGGUGCUAAUACUGGAUAUGUGCUCCUGCUGCAUGGUGGGGGUUGGAAAGCUCCGGCGGUUGUGGAUGGAUUCGCGGCCUAUCAGCUUGUUGGUGGGGUAGUGGCCUACCAAGGCGGCGACGGGUAGCCGGCCUGAGAGGGUGACCGGCCACAUUGGGACUGAGAUACGGCCCAGACUCCUACGGGAGGCAGCAGUGGGGAAUAUUGCACAAUGGGCGCAAGCCUGAUGCAGCAACGCCGCGUGCGGGAUGACGGCCUUCGGGUUGUAAACCGCUUUCAGCAGGGACGAAGCUUUUUGUGACGGUACCUGCAGAAGAAGCACCGGCUAACUACGUG